rnacentral:RNase_P_RNA from 1 species
AGUCGACCGGGCAAUCGCUGCCAUGCACGCGUGUCGUAAGGCAUACGGUCAUGGGGGAGGAAAGUCCGAGCUCCAUAGGACAAGGUGCCAGGUAACGCCUGGAGGGCGCGAGCCCAUGACUAGUGCAACAGAGAACAGACCGCCACGCAAGUGGUAAGGGUGAAACGGCGAGGUAAGAGCUCACCGCUUUUUUAGCAAUAAAAAAGGCAAGGUAAACUCCACCUGGAGCAAGCUCAAAUAGGCUUUCUAUGAUCUGGUCCGGAUCGAAGGCGGGUUGAGUGCUGGACCCUAGGAGCGAUCCUAGGGCUAGAGGAAUGAUUGCCACUGCGAAAGCAGACGGAACUCGGCUUAUAGGUUGACUCA